rnacentral:tRNA from 1 species
GGAGGCGACUGGAGUCUGGUGGCUUCCCUGGUCUUCAAAACCAGCGACGCGUCGUAACCGGCGUGUGGUGGGUUCGAUUCCCAUCCGCCUCCGCCA